rnacentral:rRNA from 1 species
UCCAGGGAUUAGUGGCGAACGGGUGAGUAACACGUGAGUAACCUGCCCUUGACUCUGGGAUAAGCGCUAGAAAUGGCGUCUAAUACCGGAUACGAGCUUCAGCCGCAUGGCUAGGAGUUGGAAAGAAUUUUGGUCAAGGAUGGACUCGCGGCCUAUCAGCUAGUUGGUGAGGUAAUGGCUCACCAAGGCGACGACGGGUAGCCGGCCUGAGAGGGUGACCGGCCACACUGGGACUGAGACACGGCCCAGACUCCUACGGGAGGCAGCAGUGGGGAAUAUUGCACAAUGGGCGAAAGCCUGAUGCAGCAACGCCGCGUGAGGGAUGACGGCCUUCGGGUUGUAAACCUCUUUUAGUAGGGAAGAAGCGAAAGUGACGGUACCUGCAGAAAAAGCACCGGCUAACUACGUGCCAGCAGCCGCGGUAAUACGUAGGGUGCAAGCGUUGUCCGGAAUUAUUGGGCGUAAAGAGCUCGUAGGCGGUUUGUCGCGUCUGCUGUGAAAUCUGGGGGCUCAACCCCCAGCCUGCAGUGGGUACGGGCAGACUAGAGUGCGGUAGGGGAGAUUGGAAUUCCUGGUGUAGCGGUGGAAUGCGCAGAUAUCAGGAGGAACACCGAUGGCGAAGGCAGAUCUCUGGGCCGUAACUGACGCUGAGGAGCGAAAGCAUGGGGAGCGAACAGGAUUAGAUACCCUGGUAGUCCAUGCCGUAAACGUUGGGAACUAGAUGUGGGGGCCAUUCCACGGUCUCCGUGUCGCAGCUAACGCAUUAAGUUCCCCGCCUGG